AUUUCUCUGCCCCUUCACUCUCAAAAUCUGUUCUCCAGAAAGAGCUAGUCCGCCUAUUCACACUGAGUUCUAAUGACCUGACUUAAUCAAAGUAUUGUCAUUUCUAGGGAUGUUUGAAAAAUCCAAGCAUUGUAAUCUCUAAUUAUGCAACUAUAGGUAUCGGUAAGCGGUAACAAGGACACUUGUGGAGCUGAUAGCCAACUGUGACCAUGAAACAGCAGAAAGAGAUGGCUGGUUUCCCUGUACACAAGGGCAAAUACAGAUAGUCUCAUUAAUGGUCAGACCAAGAAUUUGACAAAGAUUCAUUCUUGUUGCAUUCUAUUAAGAGUAAAUAUUAUACAUCCAGUAAUCAGUGAACCAUGUCCACCAAGUGAUAAGAAGUUCUGGUUGUAGACUUUAACCCUAGGAUAGGAUUUAACACCAUCUGUUCUGUAUAACAUUUGGAACUAACUUCAUAAUUAUAAUAAACAUCUACAUUAGAAAUUCCUCUACCACCAAGCGCUAUGAGCGAAUUAUAAAUAAGAUUUUAUUUGCUCCAAAGAUGAGCAACUCAGGAUUCUUUGUUAUAGACCCUAAACCCAGAUAAAAAUUAAAAUCUCAAAAAAAAAGAAAAAAAAACAGAUGUCCCUAGAUAAAUGUUCCAGUAUACAACCAGUACAAACUGUCUGGCUAACUUUUUUUUUUUUUAUGAAAUCAGAUAUUCCAGAGCCACCUUUAUCACCAAACAUAAAAGCAUCCCACUGCAUACCUCAACAGAAUUGCCUGCAUAUCCUUAAUGUCUUUCCAAGCAAUUUUAUGCAGUCAGCACCCUAUACAUUAGGGAAGGAAUGGAUGUGUGCUCUAUGGGUUCUUAUAAUAGCAAUGAACCUUCAUAAUCAGACUCAUUCCUUAAUUUUGCUUACUUUUUCAUGCAGCUGCAUUAAUACUACAUUGUCAAAGACAAAGACGAACAUGAGACAUGAGAUAUGAGUUUUAAAAAAAAGAGAGAAGAGCAAAAAAACAAUACAGCUAUCCAAGGAGCAAGUGCUGAGCUUGUGUAAAAACAGCUCCUAUUUUAUUAAAUAAUAGUGUUCCUGCAGGGAUGUCUGAAGUACUCUGCAAGGCUAAUUAGGACAGAUCAAUGUACACUUACCUCUCCAGAAGGCUGAAAGGUGUGUAGUGACUAUGUGUCAUUAAAAAUUUACUUGACCAUGGGCAUCAGAUGUCCAUGAAAGAAUGACCCUGAUACAGACUGAAAUGUUACCAGAUAAAAUGAUGUCAUGUCUGGGAUUCGCUUCAAAAUAAUUUGAGGUGGAAGUGGAAAGUGGAAACAACAAUUAUGAAACAACCUGGCCCAUGAGAUGAUAGCUGUUGAAGGUAGGUAUAGUUAUACAAAAUUUCAUUAUACUUUUCCCUCUACUUUUCUAAUAUAUUCUGAAUUUUCAUAACAAAAAGUUAAAUACACUUAAAAGUAGACAAAUACAUACUAAUUUGAGGUGGUGGUUAAGGACUCAGAAGUUACAGUCCAUGUGUCUGAAUGAAAGUAGUUUCUCAAACAUGCAGAUAUCAGAGAUUUGUGGGAUUCCUUCAAUGGAGAACCAUGUUUUCUCCACACAGAACACUGGUUUCUGAGCAAAAGUAGGCCCUCUUCCUGAAAACAGAUCUGACAAUAUGAAAGUGGUUGGCUACUUAACUGAAGAUACCAAAAGGAAAAAAAAAAAGGACACCAAAAAACUGGGUCUACAAAUGUGGUUGUUGGUUCUCCUUGUUUUUUUUUU
rnacentral:lncRNA from 1 species